GCCCACUCACCUGGAUGAGGAUCUUGCCAAGGCAGACGAAGGGCGUGCUGACCUCUGCCAUCAACAUGCAGCCCAGAAAGAAGUCUCCCUUCCCCUGUCGCCACACCUGAGCAGAGAAGCAGGAAGCCAGGCGUGGUGGCGGACACCUGUAAUCCCAGCUACUCAGGAGGCUGAGGCAUGAGAAUUGCUUGAACUUGGGAGGCGGAGACUGCAGUGAGCCGAGAUUGCAUCACUGCACUCCAGGUUGAGCAACAGGUCCUGCAGAAAGACUGUGUUCCUGACAUCAUGGGUGAGGAAAUUGAGGCUCAGAGACAUGCAACCAUGCAUCCAAAGCACCACAGCUGGGCAUCGUCCAGCCCGGGGCCAGGCUGCCCCCACACUCUGGUGCCUCUUGCAACUGAGCUGGGCUGUGAACCCUACUGGUCCACAGCUUUCCCUGGGAACGCGCUGGGUCUGCUUAUCUGCUGGUAUGCAAACCCAGGGCUUCCCAGACUCCUGAGCACCAGCAGGACCAAAGAGCAGGCCGCCUGCACCCCACCUGCCCAGCUCUCCAGAACUCACCACCGACAGCGGGAAGCACACCAGCACCAUGGCGGCGUGGUGGAGCACCAUGAGGAACUCCUUG